AUUGAACGCUGGCGGCGUGCUUAACACAUGCAAGUCGAGCGGUAACAGGCGUAGCAAUACGUGCUGACGAGCGGCGAACGGGUGAGUAAUGCUUCGGAAUCUUCCUCGUAGUGGGGAAUAACCUGGGGAAACUCAGGCUAAUACCGCAUACGAACUACGGUUGAAAGCAGGGGAUCGCAAGACCUUGCGCUAUGAGAUGAGCCGAAGUCGGAUUAGCUAGUUGGUGGGGUAAUGGCCUACCAAGGCGACGAUCCGUAGCUGGUCUGAGAGGACGACCAGCCACACUGGGACUGAGACACGGCCCAGACUCCUACGGGAGGCAGCAGUGGGGAAUAUUGGACAAUGGGGGCAACCCUGAUCCAGCGACGCCGCGUGUGUGAAGAAGGCCUGCGGGUUGUAAAGCACUUUUAGUGGGGAUGAAAAGCCGAAGGCUAAUACCUUUCGGUCUUGACCUAACCCAAAGAAAAAGCACCGGCUAACUCUGUGCCAGCAGCCGCAGUAA
rnacentral:rRNA from 1 species